UGCAGCAGCCAUAUCACCCUGCAACUCACAACUGGCAACCCACUAAAGCUAAGCAGGUGUGAGCCUGGUCAGUACCUGGAUGGGAGACCUCCUGGGAAAAACUAAGGUUGCUGCUGGAA
ensembl:rRNA 5S_rRNA 5S ribosomal RNA